rnacentral:rRNA from 1 species
UACGUAGGGCGCAAGCGUUUAUCCGGAAUUAUUGGGCGUAAAGGGCUCGUAGGCGGUCUGUUGCGUCGGGAGUGAAAACUUACAGCUUAACUGUGAGCGUGCUUCCGAUACGGGCAGACUUGAGGUAUUCAGGGGAGAACGGAAUUCCUGGUGUAGCGGUGAAAUGCGCAGAUAUCAGGAGGAACACCGGUGGCGAAGGCGGUUCUCUGGGAAUAUCCUGACGCUGAGGCACGAAGGUCAGGGGAGCAAACGGG